rnacentral:rRNA from 1 species
GAUGAACGCUGGCGGCGUGCUUAACACAUGCAAGUCGAACGAAGCACUUUAUUUGAUUUCCUUCGGGACUGAUUAUUUUGUGACUGAGUGGCGGACGGGUGAGUAACGCGUGGGUAACCUGCCUUGUACAGGGGGAUAACAGUUGGAAACGGCUGCUAAUACCGCAUAAGCGCACAGCAUCGCAUGAUGCAGUGUGAAAAACUCCGGUGGUAUAAGAUGGACCCGCGUUGGAUUAGCUAGUUGGUGAGGUAACGGCCCACCAAGGCGACGAUCCAUAGCCGACCUGAGAGGGUGACCGGCCACAUUGGGACUGAGACACGGCCCAAACUCCUACGGGAGGCAGCAGUGGGGAAUAUUGCACAAUGGGCGAAAGCCUGAUGCAGCGACGCCGCGUGAGCGAAGAAGUAUUUCGGUAUGUAAAGCUCUAUCAGCAGGGAAGAUAAUGACGGUACCUGACUAAGAAGCGCCGGCUAAAUACGUG